rnacentral:rRNA from 1 species
UACGUAGGGUGCGAGCGUUGUCCGGAAUUACUGGGCGUAAAGAGCUCGUAGGUGGUUUGUCGCGUUGUUCGUGAAAUCUCACGGCUUAACUGUGAGCGUGCGGGCGAUACGGGCAGACUGGAGUACUGCAGGGGAGACUGGAAUUCCUGGUGUAGCGGUGGAAUGCGCAGAUAUCAGGAGGAACACCGGUGGCGAAGGCGGUUCUCUGGGCCUGACCUGACGCUGAGGAGCGAAAGCGUGGGGAGCGAACAGG